rnacentral:rRNA from 2 species
CUCGGAUCAGGUAGGGAUACCCGCUGAACUUAAGCAUAUCAAUAAG